GACGAACGCUGGCGGCGUGCUUAACACAUGCAAGUCGAACGGUAAGGCCUUCGGGUACACGAGUGGCGAACGGGUGAGUAACACGUGGGUGAUCUGCCCCCUACUCUGGGAUAAGCCUGGGGAACUGGGUCUAAUACCGGAUAUGACCUCCUUCUGCAUGGUUGGUGGUGGAAAGUUUUUUCGGUAGGGGAUGAGCCCGCGGCCUAUCAGCUUGUUGGUGGGGUAAUGGCCUACCAAGGCGACGACGGGUAGCCGGCCCGAGAGGGCGACGGGCCACCCUGGGACUGAGACACGGCCCGGACUCCUACGGGAGGCAGCAGUGGGGAAUAUUGCACAAUGGGCGAGAGCCUGAUGCAGCGACGCCGCGUGGGGGAUGACGGCCUUCGGGUUGUAAACCCCUUUCAGUCGGGACGAAGCGAGAGUGACGGUACCGAUAGAAGAAGCACCGGCCAACUACGUGCCAGCCGCCGCCGUAAAAC
rnacentral:rRNA from 1 species